ACUGUGGCUGAGUUUCUGGUCUAAGUUCUGUGAUACACUCUGACUGUGAAUCUCUGCUGGUCAGUGCAUAACAGAACUUUGUCCCGUUCCUGAAGACUCU
ensembl:miRNA